rfam:Aedes albopictus isolate Foshan contig100021, whole genome shotgun sequence.
UGUACGGUAGCUUAGUUGGUAAAGCACUUAUCUAGCGAAUAAGGGUCGUGAGUUCAAAUCUCACCUGAGCUG